rnacentral:rRNA from 1 species
CACGUAGGCACCAAGCGUUGUCCGGAUUUAUUGGGCGUAAAGAGCUCGUAGGCGGUUCAGUAAGUCGGGUGUGAAAACUCUGGGCUUAACCCAGAGCCGCCACUCGAUACUGCUGUGACUUGAGUUCGGUAGGGGAGCGGGGAAUUCCUAGUGUAGCGGUGAAAUGCGCAGAUAUUAGGAGGAACACCGGCGGCGAAGGCGGCUAUCUGGUCCAACACUGACACUGAGGCCCGAAAGCGUGGGGAGCGAACAGG